AAAACUGCCAAGUGUCUCCCCCUCGACAAAAACCAACGUCGGUUUUGGUCUAGAUAACUACUAUUUCUGAUCAUUUUCCUAAAGUAAAACUUGAGAACAGAGAUAAGAGUGUCUUGUAUUUUCUCAGAUAUUUUCUCAGAUAUUCUCAUGAACAUAUUACUUUUCUGAACCAGACAUCUUUUGAACUUUCCUGUUUCCAUUGCCAAACGAGUUUCAAAUCUAAACUUCACAAUGUCAGCUUACCAUGUUUCUCAUGAGUUAAAUCAACCACAAGGCAAUCCUCAAAACAUUAUAUUUUUUGUAAACUUGAUACUUCUUCUAAUAUAUGCGACUAUUAGCUGAAAUGAUAAAUAUCAUACCAUGCAUAUGUGUUUUACUUUCCAUAAAAUUUUUCAGCCCCGUCGCCUCUCUACCCUCCGGUAAUGGAGGCUCCACCACCACCGUAUCCACCAACCAGCACGAGGUUCCAGGACUACUACAGUGGCUACGGUCAGCCGCAUCCACCGCCUCUGCGUCCAUAUAGAGAUGAGUACUAUGGAGAAGGAGAGUAUGUGGGUUGCUUUCCUUUUCUCAGAACCUGUUUGACAACGCUAUGUUGUUGCUGGUUUGUGGAACGAUGUUGCCUUCCAAGUCGAUACUAGUUCUUUAUAUGAGUUACUUUUGAUCCGCUUUAUGUGUUUGUUGUAAUGUGCAAAUCAGAAAUCUUGUUUAUGAAACAUUGACUUCUGAUUAUUUUUCUUAUAGAAAGAUUUUGAGUA